GCACCACAAGCGCGUGGAGCAUGUGGCUUAAUUUGACUCAACGCGGGAAAUCUUACCGGGUCCGGACAUAUCGAGGAUUGACAGACAGUUACCAUGCCCUUUCGAAAGGAGUCAGGUUUUAAACCUAAUGGCUCUUUCAUGAUUAUAUGAUAGGUGGUGCAUGGCCGUUCUUAGUUCGUGGAGUGAUCUGUCUGCUUAAUUGCGUUUCAAAUUUUUAUUUGAGGACCAGGUUUUGGUUUGGGUAGUGGUCCUACGAUGACUGUGAACUGUCAUGUCUUCGGAUGUGCGACUAUCGGUCUAGGAUCGCAUCUCAGCCCCUGGGACUCUUUUGAACGCAACGGACGUGAUUGCAACCCCUUGUUGAGAUUAGAGGAGUCUCGAUAUUCAUUGGCCAAACUUACCGCUUCGAGCUUGCUCGUGCAGUUUUGUUAGCCGGUGGAUAAACUCGGGGGACUGCUGAC
rnacentral:rRNA from 1 species